CGUGUAGGCGGCUUCUUAAGUCUGAUGUGAAAGCCCGGGGCCGUUACCCCCGGAACGGGCAUUGGAAACUGGGAGGCUAGAGUACCGGAGAGGAAGGUGGAAUUCCUGGUGUAGCGGUGAAAUGCGUAGAUAUCAGGAGGAACACCGGUGGCGAAGGCGGCCUUCUGGACGGAUACUGACGCUGAGACGCGAAAGCGUGGGGAGCAAACAGGAUUAGAUACCCUGGUAGUCCACGCCGUAAACGAUGGGCACUAGGUGUUCGGGGUAUUGACCCCCUGAGUGCCGCAGCUAACGCAUUAAGUGCCCCGCCUGGGGACUACGGCCGCAAGGUUAAA
rnacentral:rRNA from 1 species